rnacentral:rRNA from 1 species
AAUCCAUAGGUUAAUGAGGCGAACCGGGGGAACUGAAACAUCUAAGUACCCCGAGGAAAAGAAAUCAACCGAGAUUCCCCCAGUAGCGGCGAGCGAACGGGGAGGAGCCCAGAGCCUGAAUCAGCAUGUGUGUUAGUGGAAGCGUCUGGAAAGGCGCGCGAUACAGGGUGACAGCCCCGUACACAAAAGCGCAUGUGCUGUGAGCUCGAUGAGUAGGGCGGGACACGUGGUAUCCUGUCUGAAUAUGGGGGGACCAUCCUCCAAGGCUAAAUACUCCUGACUGACCGAUAGUGAACCAGUACCGUGAGGGAAAGGCGAAAAGAACCCCGGCGAGGGGAGUGAAAAAGAACCUGAAACCGUGUACGUACAAGCAGUGGGAGCACAGGUUUACCUGUGUGACUGCGUACCUUUUGUAUAAUGGGUCAGCGACUUAUAUUCUGUAGCAAGGUUAACCGUAUAGGGGAGCCGUAGGGAAACCGAGUCUUAACCGGGCGUUAAGUUGCAGGGUAUAGACCCGAAACCCGGUGAUCUAGCCAUGGGCAGGUUGAAGGUUGGGUAACACUAACUGGAGGACCGAACCGACUAAUGUUGAAAAAUUAGCGGAUGACCUGUGGCUGGGGGUGAAAGGCCAAUCAAACCGGGAGAUAGCUGGUUCUCCCCGAAAGCUAUUUAGGUAGCGCCUCGUGAAUUCAUCUCCGGGGGUAGAGCACUGUUUCGGCUAGGGGGCCAUCCCGGCUUACCAACCCGAUGCAAACUGCGAAUACCGGAGAAUGUUAUCACGGGAGACACACGGCGGGUGCUAACGUCCGUCGUGAAG